AAUGAACGCUGGCGGCGUGCUUAACACAUGCAAGUCGUACGAGAACUCUUCUGCUUGCAGAAGAUAGUAAAGUGGCGUACGGGUGAGUAACGCGUGGGUAAUCUACCUCCGAAUUGGGGAUAACAUUGCGAAAGCGAUGCUAAUACCGGAUAAUAUCUUGAGGUCUUCGGCCUUCAAGAUCAAAGGUGGCCUCUACAUGUAAGCUACCGUUUGGAGAUGAGCUCGCGUACCAUUAGCUUGUUGGUAGGGUAACGGCCUACCAAGGCUACGAUGGUUAGCUGGUCUGAGAGGAUGAUCAGCCACACUGGAACUGACACACGGUCCAGACUCCUACGGGAGGCAGCAGUGAGGAAUUUUGCGCAAUGGGGGAAACCCUGACGCAGCAACGCCGCGUGAGUGAUGAAGGCUUUCGGGUCGUAAAGCUCUGUC
rnacentral:rRNA from 1 species